CAAAUUCAAGCCAUUUGAGAAAAAGUUGGAGACACUCUUUAUGGACCCUAGAAUGCCUCUGGGCUCCACCCCUGUUCCAUUCUCCUCUCCACCCAUUCAUCCAGGUGCUGUGCGUCCUGGAAAGCUUCAGCGUGGCCUGCAGUCAAGCACAGGGAAGUCCCCUCGUGUUCUCCUGGUCUGCUGGGGAGCACCAGAGCCAUUCUUUGAAGGCAGGAGCAGAGAACUGCGCUUGAUUUUGGGGGGUCACAUGUGUUCCAGUUUGUGGCAAAUGGUGUUCCACGCUGUGUUUCCAGCAAGCUGUGGCAGGAAUCAGCCUUCUAGACCAUAGGGACAUAAGGACGAAAGAAGAAGGGAAAGGUCAUUUCUCCAGGGGAAAAGCAAUAAUUUCAUGCAAAUGUGAAGAAAAACAGUAUGUUGAUGGUUGUUGUUGUUUUCUGUAGUGCAAAAUAAAAAGAGAAAAGAAAAAAACA
rnacentral:lncRNA from 1 species